GGCAGAAGCUUCAACACUAAGCAGAGCACAGGCCUCAAGGCUGCUCCUUCACCACAGCCUUCUUGAGACUGUACCUGCUGAUCCUCUGUGACAGGAGAAAGCCUUAAAACAACGGCCCCAGUUACACAGGCAGCCCUUCUUUCCAGCUUUUCUCUAAAGAAGAAUUACUAGGACUGAAAGGAACUCUACCAACAUCAAACCAUGUUUGAGCAAUAUCACCUGCUGAUAUCAUCAGCAAAUGGAACUUACUAAUGUGACUCCUGAGUUCUAAGAUGCACUCCCCCCGACACACACCCCAUUUCUGAAACCUGAUUGUUCUUGACAUCGCUCAAUUUGUUCUUUUGUUCUUCUUAGUCCUUGUAUCUCAUUCCUGAUUUCCUCCUUGGAGUAAAGUAAAAAUAAUGUUCA